CCUACGGGAGGCAGCAGUGAGGAAUAUUGGUCAAUGGACGAGAGUCUGAACCAGCCAAGUAGCGUGAAGGAUGACUGCCCUAUGGGUUGUAAACUUCUUUUAUAUGGGAAUAAAACGUUCCACGUGUGGGAUUUUGUAUGUACCAUAUGAAUAAGGAUCGGCUAACUCCGUGCCAGCAGCCGCGGUAAUACGGAGGAUCCGAGCGUUAUCCGGAUUUAUUGGGUGUAAAGGGAGCGUAGGUGGAUUGGUAAGUCAGUUGUGAAAGUUUGCGGCUCAACCGUAAAAUUGCAGUUGAAACUGGCAGUCUUGAGUACAGUAGAGGUGGGCGGAAUUCGUGGUGUAGCGGUGAAAUGCUUAGAUAUCACGAAGAACUCCGAUUGCGAAGGCAGUUCACUGGACUGCAACUGACACUGAGGCUCGAAAGUGUGGGUAUCAAACAGGAUUAGAUACCCCAGUAGUC
rnacentral:rRNA from 1 species